GGGUUUGGCUGGGAACUUAGUUGGCAGAGAGCUUACCUUGUGUGCUACUCAUCCUGGGCUCCACUCCCAGUACCACAUUAACUGGGUAGGGUGGUCUAUAAUCCCAACGCUGAAGAUGUCCAAGCAAGAGAAUUGCCAGCCAAAGGGGUCAUCCUUGGCUUGAUGGCAGAUUUGAGCCCAGUCUGCGAUACACACACACACCCAGGUCCCUCUGCUCUGAGCUGGCAGACCUUCUUCCCUGCCCGGUAGUUCCAGACACUAUGAACCAGGGCUUGGCCACGCUGCUGAGCUCCUGCACUUUCAGUAGCGAGUUAAUGUGGCCAUGACUCAGAAUUAUCGGACCCCAGAUGCCAGAGAAGUGAACUAACUUCUUUUUGGCUCACAGUGGACUCAUAGGCAACAAAAUAGGUUUCGUGUUGUAAUGAAGCAGUGUAGAGUGUGGCUCCCAAGCUGUGUGUUGUCUGCCCCUGCCCGCUUCAUUGCUUGCUGGAUCAUUCUCUCCUAUCCAUCCUCCCUCAGAGCCAAGAGCCCGAAAGCCAGCCCAAGUCGUUUGCAAAUAACACUCCUGAACUCAGCCUUGAAAAGACUUGUUACGAUAAGCUUGUCCAGGGUGCAUAUUGUAUCUCGAGUUUGGGAAUAGCUGGGAAAACCUUCUACUCCAUUUAGGGAGAGCCUGGAUGGCUAGUGGGUGGGGCUCUGAGCACAGGAUUAACACCAAUAAUACAAAGAAAUACACGUAGAAAGUGCAAAGUUGAUCUUGAAGAACAGCUUACAAUUAUUAUGUAACACCUUCCUUCCAAGGACUACCAAGAACUUCCCUGCAGAUUUCACCCAGUUCUCACGCAGCAUGAAUUAUUUCCCAGAAAUGAUUUAGGCUCUUUUGGAAAAUGCAUUGAUUCUUUUAACCGUCAUGAUCCCACUUACAGUAAAACCACUAUUAUCUGAUUUUCUGAGUUGUAAAGCUAUUAUUAACGGGCACAUUAUAUAUGUUACCAGUACAGUGACAGCUGAUGUGUGUAAUGGUGACCCCAAAGUUCUAUAAGACCCUCAAUUUGCCCACUCAUGAAUCAAGGGAGAUUGAAAGUGUAUUCAAUCCAGUUUUUUCAUGUUAAGAGUCUUAUUAUAUUCAAAUCCUCUUUAAAGGAGUUCAAGUAUGUGCCCGCCGUGAUUUUUCUAUGGCUGCACCAAUUCAGAAUGUCCUAUCCAUUCUUGCUUGGUCUUGCGAUUGAACCCUUAUUUAAAAAAAAAAAUACACCUUUUUAGUAAUGGGGUAAAAAAUACAAAUGAUUUGAUCUCAAAUCUGAAGGUGAAUCAGUUUACUUUGGUUUUUAGAUUUUUAAUUUUGUUUGUGUGUGCACGAGCACGUCUGUGUCUGUGUCUGUGUCUGUGUGUGUGUGAGAGAGAGAGAGAGAGAGAGAGAGAGAGAGAGAGAGAGAGAGAGAGAGAGUGAAUGAAUGAAUGAAUAUGUUUGUGCACCACAGAGACCAGAAGAGGUCAGAUCCUAGAUCUGGAGCUAAUAUUGAUUGUGAGCCACCCAGUGCAGAAGCUGGCAACCAAACCUGAGUCCUCUGUAAAAAGCAGCGAGUGCUCCUAACCAUUGAGCUAUCUCUCCAGUCUCCAAAAUCUACCUUCUAAAGUGUGGUCGCAGACAUAAGUGACAUAAACACAUUUACCAAAGUGUGAGACAUCACUCCGAGCCCUCUCCACUCUUACUCUUUGUACCUUAGCCCAGCGUGUUGAGUUUGACACAGUUACCCCAGAGCUGUUGUCCUUUAGCAUCUACCUGCUGUGCUUCCGAGUCCUCAGAGUUAGUGCUUCAGGUCUUUCUAUGUUCAUUGUGGUCGGUCCCUCUCCCACCCUCUCCCAUGCCACAUGAUGAAGGCAUCAAGCCUUCAUAGGAAGUGCACAUCAAACUGCCAGCCAAGGAGGAAGCUGUGGCUCGGUUGCAUAGUCCUGGCAUGGCUUCUGCAGUCUGGGUUUAGAAAACCAAGAGCUUAGGCCAACAGGAUCCCACAGGAGAAGGAAGCGAAGACCUAGAGCAACAGAAAUGGGUGUGCCUUCCUCUCUCCUGGUUCAUCAGUUUCCACAGCUGGCUGGAGAAGUCAAGCCAUGCCACAAACUGGGAUAUCUGCCUUACACUUACUGGUGUUUUAUGGUGAUUUCAAAGAACCAUCAUGUUUCUCAUUCAAUGAAAGGUUUCUAGUUCUGUAUCCAGUGUUCCUCAAGAGGAGGGGACUGACUUUUACCGUGACUUGUUCCCCGUGUAAAUGGGAUAAUUGCCUCUGGAGCAUCCUCUUGAAAGAAAGACACAGACCAAUGGUCUUGGGAGUCUUGUAUGUUUGCUGGGCCCUGAACUAAAAGCUGGCCCAAGUUCUUACUAAUUAGGUGACUUUACAGGAAGUCACUUAUCUCCUUCCCUUCCUGGUCCUUACCAGGAAAUAGGAAUAAUCUUGUCCAUUCUGCUUCCUCUCCUGGCUAAUGUGACGUCAGCCAAGAUCAGGUGUGUGAAUGCUCCCUAAGCCAGAGUGCUGCCAUCAUGCUUGUGAUUUGGGUCUAAGGAGUACAUCCAGGAGAAGGCUCUGGUAGGUAGAGGGACUUGUGUGUGACAGUUCUGUAAACUAAUUUCCCCUGAUAGUCUGACACAUAGCAAUGUAUAAAUCAGAUUUCUAUUAAAACAUAUGGCAGGUAUAAGAUGUGUUCAGCUCUAGUACUCGAGGAGACCACUCAGCCCUUGCCCCAGGCCUGGUGACCUGAGUCCAGUCCCUGGGACUUACAUGGUGGAAACAGAGAACUAACUCCUGCCAUUGUUCUCUGACCUCCACUUGCAUACCAUGGACUUCUAAUCCUCCUGCUGCAGCCUCCUCCCAGGUAGCUGGUAUUACAGGCAUGCUGCCACCAUACCUGGUUACUUGCUGAAUAGUUCUUUGACACUUUUCAGUGGCUGCACUAGUCCCGACCAGCCGCAUGCCAACUUCAAGCGCCCAGGUCCUUACUGAAACCUGUUCUUCGCUUUAGUUAUAUUUCUCUUGUUUUGAUAAAACGCCAUAACCCGAAGCAACUUGAGGAAGAAAGGAUUUAUUUGGCUUCCACAGUACAGUCCAUCGUCAGGGGAAGCCAAGGUAAGAACUUGAGGCAGAAACCCGGAGGCAGGAACUGAAUGAAGCAGAGACCAUGAUGAGACAUAGCUUAUUGGCUUGCUGGGCUUGCUUUUUUUUUUUAUAUUACCCAGGACCACCUGCCCAGUGGUGAAUUGGAUUCUCACACAUCAAAUUC
rnacentral:lncRNA from 1 species